UACACUCCUACGGGAGGCAGCAGUGGGGAAUAUUGCACAAUGGGCGCAAGCCUGAUGCAGCCAUGCCGCGUGUAUGAAGAAGGCCUUCGGGUUGUAAAGUACUUUCAGCGGGGAGGAAGGCGAUAAGGUUAAUAACCUUGUUGAUUGACGUUACCCGCAGAAGAAGCACCGGCUAACUCCGUGCCAGCAGCCGCGGUAAUACGGAGGGUGCAAGCGUUAAUCGGAAUUCCUGGGCGUAAAGCGCACGCAGGCGGUCUGUCAAGUCGGAUGUGAAAUCCCCGGGCUCAACCUGGGAACUGCAUUCGAAACUGGCAGGCUAGAGUCUUGUAGAGGGGGGUAGAAUUCCAGGUGUAGCGGUGAAAUGCGUAGAUAUCUGGAGGAAUACCGGUGGCGAAGGCGGCCCCCUGGACAAAGACUGACGCUCAGGUGCGAAAGCGUGGGGAGCAAACAGGAUUAGAAACCCUUGUAGUCCCAUG
rnacentral:rRNA from 1 species